CCGGAACUGCCUGUGAAUCUGAGGUGCUAGAAGCCUGGAGAGGCGAGUGGAAUUCCGAGUGUAGAGGUGAAAUUCGUAGAUAGUCGGAAGAACACCAGUGGCGAAGGCGACUCGCUGGACAGGUAUUGACGCUGAGGUGCGAAAGCGUGGGGAGCAAACAG
rnacentral:rRNA from 1 species